rnacentral:rRNA from 1 species
AUUGAACGCUGGCGGCGUGCCUAACACAUGCAAGUCGAGCGGUAACAGGUGUAGCAAUACAUGCUGACGAGCGGCGAACGGGUGAGUAAUGCUUCGGAAUCUGCCCAUGUAGUGGGGAAUAACCAGCCGAAAGGUUGGCUAAUACCGCAUACGACCUACGGGUGAAAGCAGGGGAUCGCAAGACCUUGCGCUAUUGGAUGAGCCGAAGUCGGAUAGCUUGUUGGUAGGGUAACGGCCUACCAAGGCGACGAUCCGUAGCUGGUCUGAGAGGACGACCAGCCACACUGGGACUGAGACACGGCCCAGACUCCUACGGGAGGCAGCAGUGGGGAAUUUUGCGCAAUGGGCUAACGCCUGACGCAGCAACGCCGCGUGGAGGAUGAAGGUCUUUGGAUUGUAAACUCCUGUCAGCAGGGAAAAGCAACUCGGCCUCAUACGCCGGGAAGUUGAUUGUACCUGCAGAGGAAGCCCCGGCUAACUC